rnacentral:rRNA from 1 species
GUUGUCGGGCGGGUAAAGGCCCACCAAGGCGACGAUCAGUAGCCGGCCUGAGAGGGUGAACGGCCACAUUGGGACUGAGACACGGCCCAAACUCCUACGGAAGGCAGCAG